UACCAAGGCGAUAAGGGUUCUGCUGGUGUUCCCGGUCCUACUGGUCCAAGAGGAAAACCUGGACCACCGGGCAAAAUUGGUGAGAUGGGGGCACAAGGACCACCUGGGCCUUCAGGACCAGAGGGCUUUCCAGG